GAUGAAGAACGCAGCGAAUUGCGAUAAGUAAUGUGAAUUGCAGAUUUUCAGUGAAUCAUCGAAUCUUUGAACGCACAUUGCGCCCGCCAGUAUUCUGGCGGGCAUGCCUGUCUGAGCGUCAUUUCAACCCUCAUGCCCCUAGGGCGUGGUGUUGGGGAUCGGCCAAAGCCCGCGAGGGACGGCCGGCCCCUAAAUCUAGUGGCGGACCCGUCGUGGCCUCCUCUGCGAAGUAGUGAUAUUCCGCAUCGGAGAGCGAUGAGCCCCUGCCGUUAAACCCCCAACUUUCCAAGGUUGACCUCAGAUCAGGUAGGAAUACCCGCUGAACUUAAGCAUAUCAAUAAGCGGAGGA
rnacentral:misc_RNA from 1 species